UGGUGCCAGAUGUACUUGGUAUUGCGGAAGAAUGAUGUGAUCGAUGGAUUUGUGGCACGUAAUAAUAUUAGCGAUUGAUAAAAAUUGUAAGCUGUGUA
ensembl:ncRNA F11H8.8 ncRNA